CAGCCGCCGCGGUAAUACGGAGGGUGCAAGCGUUAUCCGGAUUUAUUGGGUUUAAAGGGUGCGCAGGCGGAGGAAUAAGUCAGUGGUGAAAUACUGCCGCUCAACGGUAGGGCUGCCAUUGAUACUGUUUUUCUUGAGUAUGGUUGAGGUAAGCGGAAUGUGCGGUGUAGCGGUGAAAUGCAUAGAUAUCGCACAGAACGCCGAUUGCGAAGGCAGCUUACUAAGCCAUUACUGACGCUGAGGCACGAAAGCGUGGGUAGCGAACAGGAUUAGAUACCCUGGUAGUCCACGCCGUAAACGAUGUUCACUCGCUGUUUGCGAUACACAGCAAGCGGCUGAGCGAAAGCAUUAAGUGAACCACCUGGGGAGUACGCCCGCAAGGGUGAAACUCAAAGGAAUUGACGGGGGCCCGCACAAGCGGUGGAACAUGUGGUUUAAUUCGAUGAUACGCGAGGAACCUUACCUGGGCUUAAAUGCAGGUUGCAUAAACUGGAAACAGUUUUUCCCUUCGGGGCUACUGGCAAGGUGCUGCAUGGUUGUCUUCAGCUCGUGCCGUGAGGUGUCGGGUUAAGUCCCAUAACGAGCGCAACCCCUACCGUUAGUUGCCAUCGGGUAAUGCCGGGGACUCUACCGGGACUGCCACCGUAAGGUGAGAGGAAGGUGGGGAUGACGUCAA
rnacentral:rRNA from 1 species